GAACGAACGCUGGCGGCGUGCUUAACACAUGCAAGUCGAGCGGGAAAGUUUCCUUCGGGAAGCGAGUACAGCGGCAGACGGGUGAGUACAACGUAGGUAACCUACCCUCGAGACCGGGAUAACCUGUCGAAAGACGGGCUAAUACCGGAUAAGACCACAAGGGCUGCGGCCUUUGAGGUAAAAGAUGGCCUCUGCUUGCAAGCUAUCACGUUGGGGAUGGGCCUGCGCGCCAUUAGCAGUUGGUGAGGUAACGGCUCACCAAGGCAAAGAUGGCUAGCUGGUCUGAGAGGAUGGCCCAGCCACACUGGGACUGAGACACGGCCCAG
rnacentral:rRNA from 1 species